UACGUAGGGGGCGAGCGUUAUCCGGAUUUACUGGGUGUAAAGGGAGCGUAGACGGCGUCGCAAGUCUGAAGUGAAGGCCCGUGGCUCAACCGCGGAACCGCUUUGGAAACUGCGAGGCUGGAGUGCUGGAGAGGUAAGCGGAAUUCCUGGUGUAGCGGUGAAAUGCGUAGAUAUCAGGAGGAACACCGGUGGCGAAGGCGGCUUACUGGACAGUGACUGACGUUGAGGCUCGAAAGCGUGGGGAGCGAACAGG
rnacentral:rRNA from 1 species